CACAUCUUUCGUCUUCCUUUGUGUCCUUCCCCAAACCUGCAUGAUGCGGCAACACACGUAGAGAAACUCCUGCCCACAAAGAAGAAGAGGCCAAAGAAAUUCCUGUUGAGAUGGUAGUAUACCUACACAUUGGGUAUUGCAACUGGAUUGGUUUUAAGACAGCUAUGACCACCACUCUGCAUGGAAAUAUUCACCGAGUCAACAAGUUUACUCGUUUAAGUGAUGGCUCUGUGGGCAGGACUGAAGUGGGGAGCAGCAUAUAGGGCAGCAGCUGCAAGUCAUGUUUCGAAGAGCCCACUGGGAGUAUCCUGCAAAAGAAGACAAACUUUAGGCUUUGCAUGAGCAGCAGAAGAGGUGCGUAAUUCUACGUAGGGCAGAGCCUCUUGCUUGGAAUGACAGAAGCAGAAGAAGGAAUGCAAGAAGACUUAUCCUUCCCACAGACCAAAUUUGCGGGUGGGAGGGCUGGGUGAGACACAGGAAGUCAUUUUGGCUGAGGCUCAUUGUCAGAGAACUCUGAAAUCAGUAAACCAGUAAACAAAGUUGACUCAUUAAUGAAAAGAAGAGGAGUGAGGAGGGAUAAUCCAGAAAUCACUGGGGUUCGAUGUUAGGAGGUAUUUUGAAACUAUUCCAUUUGAAAGGAGAAGACACCUGGCGCUCUUUAAAUUUCUUUCAAACAAAGUAUUAAACCAAUCUGUGAGUUGACUCAGAAAAAUUUUAAGAGUAUUGUAGCCCUAGUGAAACUUUUAUCUAACUCCUUCUCACUUUUUAUUCCAUGAUGGAACGGCAUAGAUGAUUUUUUUCAGACUCAAGGCAAGAGACCUGCCUCAGCCAAGCUGUUUUUUUUUUGACAUGCUGUGGUGAGGGAUUGGUUAAUUGCUUGGGCUCCCAUGGAGGGCAGCCUUCAAGAUGGCCCCACGUGAGUGAGCUUUUCCAUGUUCCCAACUGUCUCCCUUCCCCUCUUUUCCAUUGUUGGUGAUGACAACAUCUCUUCUCUCAGCUCUGCGAGGUCCUCUCCCUUUUAUUGAAAUCUGCUUUCACGGAACAUUUUGAAAAUAUGUCAAAUAAAGUCUGAUUGACUUCCUUCUAGAGAAUGGGU
rnacentral:lncRNA from 1 species